GUAAUCAUUACCAAUAAAGAGCCUAUGAAAUUGGAGAUCUGCUGGAUGCCAAAAAGAAUACGAGAUUUUCAAAAUGUGUAAAUGUUUCAGUUCUUGCAAAGGUCAGAUUGCUUGCCAUCAAUUAAUAUGGCAUUGGUAGAAGAAUACAUCAUGAACUAGGACCCAGAGGAUGAAUCAAGCAUAUUAGAAGGGCAUAUUAUUGGUAUUGAUGAGAAGAUUUUAGAAAAUGUGUUGUGUCUUUUAAUUGGAGAGCUUGCGGUGGAGGCACUUGACUCAACCAAUUUCAGCCCAGGAAGAUUUUUCAAA
rnacentral:lncRNA from 1 species